rnacentral:tRNA from 1 species
GCUGUAGCUCAGUGGCAGAGCACUUGCCUAGCAUGUGUGAGGCACUGAGUUCAAUCCUUAGCACCACA